rnacentral:rRNA from 1 species
UAGGGAAUCUUCCACAAUGGACGAAAGUCUGAUGGAGCAACGCCGCGUGAGUGAAGAAGGGUUUCGGCUCGUAAAACUCUGUUGUUAAAGAAGAACAUAUCUGAGAGUAACUGUUCAGGUAUUGACGGUUAUUUAACCAGAAAGCCACGGCUAACUACGUGCCA